CAGAGGGAGAACAACAGAGGGCGCUGCUCCCUUUCGUUGGUGGUUUGAUAUAAAUUCAUCUUUCAUUUCUGAGAACCUUUCUCUCUUGCUCAGCCUACAGCAUGAUCUUGUAGGGGAGUUUGUCUUGCAUAACACACGAACCAAGAUUUUCUUGACGAUUUCAACAAAAGAUCAAAAAACUAGAGGAACUUUCGUGUAUCCCCAGACUCAGCCUCCCACUUCUGAGCCAGCCAUGCUGUCUGCCUUGUGCUUAGGACUUGUGAUCUUGUUGAUAAUGCGAGGCACCAGUGGAGACUUGGUGACCCAGACAGAAGGCGUUGUUACCCUCCCCGAGAAGGCAUCUCUGACUCUGAAGUGUACUUACCAGUCCAGCUAUUCAGAUUUUCUUCUCUGGUAUGUCCAGUACCAAAACAAAGAGCUUGAGCUGCUCCUGAAAAGCUCAUUAGGAAACCAGAAGGUGACCAGCAGAGGUUUUGAAGCCACUCAUAUCUCGAGUGACAGCUCCUUCCACCUGCAGAAAUCCUCCGUGCAAACAUCAGACUCAGCUGUGUACUACUGCGCUCUGAGUGACACAGUGAGAGAGGGCGCAGGGGGAGCUGAACACAAACCCGAGGGCACAGAUGGGGUCAGGCUGUGGGCAGCUCUCCAGAGUUCUGUGCUAGAGGCAUCGUCAAAGUACUUUCAGCUCUGAAGCUCAGAGCUAAGAAUCUUGGAAUUCUUGGAUUGCCCUACAGAGAGGAAUCUGGGGCAGGACAGUGUAAAGAGGAACCUAAGCGCUUUUCUCCACAAAUGCCUGUUUUCAGCCCAUUCACAUUCCCCCUAAAGACACAGAAUCCCUUGAAGUGUCAUUAACUCUUCAGUGACAAUUCAGUUGAUAUAUGCUGAAAUAUUUCACAACCUGUUAAUGAAAACUCCCAGGAACAUUGUUAAUGGAUGACUGAGUGAUCUGAAAGGUAGUCUCUGGUUUUAACAAUUCAGACUAGGAUUGUAUGUCUUGCUGAGAUACACCUGCGGACACUCCAUCUUCAGUGACUAGGAGCUUUAUUCUCUCUUCCCUUGACUUUUCCAUCCCUAUGGCUGCUACAGCAAUGCUGCUACCUAGGUAAGUUCCAGGAGGAGAGUUUUCUGACAAGAUAAUCCUUCUGUCAAUGGCCCUGUGGGUCAGAGCAGUCCAGCUGGUAAAUAUUGCAGGCAUGAAGUGUAUUGUUUGUAUUCAAACAGGGUACAGGAUAUUCUCUUUGCCAAUAAUAACGUCACCUCAGGGGAAAUUUAUUCAUCAGUCAGUCAUAUUUCUGAUAUAUGGAAAAAGCGUUUAUGUACUCUUACAAUAAGCUAUCUUUGGAAUGGAAUGAGUUUUUCACCUGCUCCAAAAAACUAGGAGAAAGUAUCACCCACUCCCAAGGCAGGAACAUCUCCCCACUCCUCUGCUCAUGAGCAGGAAUGUGGAGCCACUGGGGCUCUGCAUCUCUGCAACAAUCAUGCCCAUUGCACAGAGCAUCCCCUCUGCAUCUCUGAAGGCUGAACUCCUGUCCGUGCCUUUGGGGACCAGACUUUCUGGAAGGACAGUGGGGGACACAGAAGGUGUGAAAAGAGAUAUGUUUUACUGCAAGGCAGUCAGGGAGAUGUGGCCUAGACACUGAUUAUUUGUCAUCUCAUAAUUUAUAAACACA